rnacentral:rRNA from 1 species
ACUUAAGCAUAUCAAUAAGCGGAGGAAAAGAAACCAACUGGGAUUGCUUUAGUAACGGCGAGUGAAGCGGCAAUAGCUCAAAUUUGAAAGCUGGCCCCUUUGGGGUCCGCGUUGUAAUUUGUAGAGGAUGAUUCGGCGAGGGCUCCCGUCUAAGUCCCCUGGAACGGGGCGUCAUAGAGGGUGAGAAUCCCGUAUGUGAUGGGUUGCCUUAGCCAUGUGAAUCUCCUUCGACGAGUCGAGUUGUUUGGGAAUGCAGCUCUAAAUGGGAGGUAAAUUUCUUCUAAAGCUAAAUACCGGCCAGAGACCGAUAGCGCACAAGUAGAGUGAUCGAAAGAUGAAAAGCACUUUGGAAAGAGAGUUAAAAAGUACGUGAAAUUGUUGAAAGGGAAGCGCUUGCAGCCAGACUUGUCCGCAGUUGCUCAGCCGGUCUCCUGACCGGCGUACUCUUCUGCGGCCAGGCCAGCAUCAGUUCGGGCGGUCGGAUAAAGACCUCGGGAAUGUAGCUCCUCUCGGGGAGUGUUAUAGCCCGGGGUGGAAUGCGGCCAGCCUGGACUGAGGAUCUCGCUUCGGCUAGGAUGCUGGCGUAAUGGCUGUAAGCGGCCCGUCUUGAAACACGGACCAAGGAGUCUAACAUCUAUGCGAGUGUUUGGGUGUCAAACCCAUACGCGUAAUGAAAGUGAACGGAGGUGGGAACCCUCACGGGUGCACCAUCGACCGAUCCUGAUGUCUUCGGAUGGAUUUGAGUAUGAGCAUAGCUGUUGGGACCCGAAAGAUGGUGAACUAUGCCUGAAUAGGGUGAAGCCAGAGGAAACUCUGGUGGAGGCUCGCAGCGGUUCUGACGUGCAAAUCGAUCGUCAAAUUUGGGUAUAGGGGCGAAAGACUAAUCGA